AGAGUUUGAUCAUGGCUCAGGAUGAACGCUGGCGGCGUGCCUAAUACAUGCAGGUCGAGCGAACCACUUCGGUGGUGAGCGGCGAACGGGUGAGUAACACGUAGGUUAUCUGCCCAUCAGACGGGGACAACGAUUGGAAACGAUCGCUAAUACCGGAUAGGACGAAAGUUUAAAGGUGCUUCGGCACCACUGAUGGAUGAGCCUGCGGCGCAUUAGCUAGUUGGUAGGGUAAAGGCCUACCAAGGCGAUGAUGCGUAGCCGACCUGAGAGGGUGAACGGCCACACUGGGACUGAGACACGGCCCAGACUCCUACGGGAGGCAGCAGUAGGGAAUCUUCGGCAAUGGGCGAAAGCCUGACCGAGCAACGCCGCGUGAAUGAUGAAGGCCUUCGGGUUGUAAAAUUCUGUUAUAAGGGAAGAAUGGCUCUAGUAGGAAAUGGCUAGAGUGUGACGGUACCUUAUGAGAAAGCCACGGCUAACUACGUG
rnacentral:rRNA from 1 species